rnacentral:rRNA from 1 species
GUAACGCUGGCGGCGUGCUUACACAUGACAAGUCGAACGAACCUUCGGGUUAGUGGCGGACGGGUGAGUAACGCAAUCUGCCCUCAGGAGGGGGACAACAGUUGGAAACGACUGCUAAUACCCCAUAUGCCGCGAGGUGAAAUGAAUUUCGCCUGAGGAUGAGCUCGCGUCUGAUUAGCUAGUUGGUGUAGGUAAUGGCUCACCAAGGCAUCGAUCAGUAGCUGGUCUGAGAGGAUGAUCAGCCACACUGGGACUGAGACACGGCCCAGACUCCUACGGGAGGCAGCAGUGGGGAAUUUUCCGCAAUGGGCGAAAGCCUGACGGAGCAACGCCGCGUGAGGGAUGAAGGCCUCUGGGCUGUAAACCUCUUUUAUCAAGGAAGAAGAUCUGACGGUACUUGAUGAAUAAGCCACGGCUAAUUCCGUGCCAGCAGCCGCGGUAAUACGGGAGUGGCAAGCGUUAUCCGGAAUUAUUGGGCGUAAAGCGUCCGCAGGCGGCCCUUCAAGUCUGCUGUUAAAAAGUGGAGCUUAACUCCAUCAUGGCAGUGGAAACUGUUUGGGCUUGAGUGUGGUAGGGGCAGAGGGAAUUCCCGGUGUAGCGGUGAAAUGCGUAAUAUCGGGAAGAACACCAGUGGCGAAGGCGCUCUGCUGGGCCAUCACUGACGCUCAUUGAACGAAAGCCAGGGGAGCGAACGGAUUAGAUACCCCUGUAGUCCUGCGCACGUAAACGAUGAACACUAAGGUGUACGGGGGAAAUCGAACACCUCCAGAUGUCCUGUAAGCCAAAGCAGUUAACUUGUUUCCGAGCAUGGGGAAGUAUCAGCGCGCAUUUAACUCAGGAUGAGGAGUUAAUCAACGCG